UACAGAGGUCUCAAGCGUUGUUCGGAUUCAUUGGGCGUAAAGGGUGUGUAGGUGGCGCGCUAAGUCGGGUGUGAAAUUUCGGAGCUUAACUCCGAAACUGCAUUCGAUACUGCGGUGCUUGAGGACUGGAGAGGAGACUGGAAUUUACGGUGUAGCAGUGAAAUGCGUAGAGAUCGUAAGGAAGACCAGUGGCGAAGGCGGGUCUCUGGACAGUUCCUGACACUGAGGCACGAAGGCCAGGGGAGCAAACGGG
rnacentral:rRNA from 1 species